UGGGGAAUAUUGGACAAUGGGGGGAACCCUGAUCCAGCCAUGCCGCGUGUGUGAAGAAGGCCUUAUGGUUGUAAAGCACUUUAAGCGAGGAGGAGGGUACUGGUAUUAAUACUACCAGGUACUGGACGUUACUCGCAGAAUAAGCACCGGCUAACUCUGUGCCAGCAGCCGCGGUAAUACAGAGGGUGCGAGCGUUAAUCGGAUUUACUGGGCGUAAAGCGUGCGUAGGCGGCUAAUUGAGUCGGAUGUGAAAUCCCCGAGCUUAACUUGGGAAUUGCAGUCGAUACUGGUUAGCUAGAGUGUGGGAGAGGAUGGUAGAAUUCCAGGUGUAGCGGUGAAAUGCGUAGAGAUCUGGAGGAAUACCGAUGGCGAAGGCAGCCAUCUGGCCUAACACUGACGCUGAGGUACGAAAGCAUGGGGAGCAAACAG
rnacentral:rRNA from 1 species